rnacentral:rRNA from 1 species
AGCGGUAGGUUUCCUUCGGGAAACUGAGAGCGGCGCACGGGUGCGGAACACGUGUGCAACCUGCCUUUAUCAGGGGGAUAGCCUUUCGAAAGGAAGAUUAAUACCCCAUAAUAUAUCAGAUGGCAUCAUUUGAUAUUGAAAACUACGGUGGAUAAAGAUGGGCACGCGCAGGAUUAGAUAGUUGGUAGGGUAACGGCCUACCAAGUCAACGAUCCUUAGGGGGCCUGAGAGGGUGAUCCCCCACACUGGUACUGAGACACGGACCAGACUCCUACGGGAGGCAGCAGUGAGGAAUAUUGGACAAUGGGUGAGAGCCUGAUCCAGCCAUCCCGCGUGAAGGACGACGGCCCUAUGGGUUGUAAACUUCUUUUGUAUAGGGAUAAACCUACUCUCGUGAGAGUAGCUGAAGGUACUAUACGAAUAAGCACCGGCUAACUCCGUGCCAGCAGCCGCGGUAAUACGGAGGGUGCAAGCGUUAUCCGGAUUUAUUGGGUUUAAAGGGUCCGUAGGCUGAUUUGUAAGUCAGUGGUGAAAUCUCACAGCUCAACUGUGAAACUGCCAUUGAUACUGCAAGUCUUGAGUGUUGUUGAAGUAGCUGGAAUAAGUAGUGUAGCGGUGAAAUGCAUAGAUAUUACUUAGAACACCAAUUGCGAAGGCAGGUUACUAAGCAACAACUGACGCUGAUGGACGAAAGCGUGGG